rnacentral:rRNA from 1 species
CCUACGGGAGGCAGCAGUGAGGAAUAUUGGUCAAUGGGCGCAAGCCUGAACCAGCCAAGUCGCGUGAGGGAGGACGGCCCUACGGGUUGUAAACCUCUUUUGCCGGGGAGCAACGGGCGUCACGUGUGGCGCCACUGAGAGUACCCGGAGAAAAAGCAUCGGCAAACCCCGUGCCAGCAGCCGCGGUAAUAGGGGGGAUGCGAGCUUUAUCGGGAUUUUUUGGUUUAAAGGGGUGCGUAGGCGGAUCGUUAAGUCAGGGGUAAAAUUGAGGGGCUCAAGCCCUUCCCGCCAUUGAAACUGGCGCUCUUGAGUGGAAGAGACGUAUGCGGAAUGCGUGGUGUAGCGGUGAAAUGCAUAGAUAUCACGCAGAACCCCGAUUGCGAAGGCAGCAUGCCGGCUUCCGACUGACGCUGAAGCACGAAAGCGUGGGGAUCGAACAGGAUUAGAUACCCUUGUAGUC